UACAGAGGUCUCAAGCGUUGUUCGGAUUCAUUGGGCGUAAAGGGUGUGUAGGUGGCGCCGUAAGUGGGGUGUGAAAUCUCGGGGCUUAACUCCGAAACUGCAUUCCAUACUGCGGUGCUCGAGGACUGGAGAGGAGACUGGAAUUCAUGGUGUAGCAGUGAAAUGCGUAGAGAUCAUGAGGAAGACCAGUGGCGAAGGCGGGUCUCUGGACAGUUCCUGACACUGAGACACGAAGGCCAGGGGAGCAAACGGG
rnacentral:rRNA from 1 species